rnacentral:rRNA from 1 species
ACACUGGAACUGAGACACGGUCCAGACUCCUACGGGAGGCAGCAGUGGGGAAUUUUGGACAAUGGGGGCAACCCUGAUCCAGCCAUUCCGCGUGAGUGAAGAAGGCCUUCGGGUUGUAAAGCUCUUUCAGCUGGAAAGAAACGGUACGCACUAACAUUGCGUGCUAAUGACGGUACCAGCAGAAGAAGCACCGGCUAACUACGUGCCAGCAGCCGCGGUAAUACGUAGGGUGCGAGCGUUAAUCGGAAUUACUGGGCGUAAAGCGUGCGCAGGCGGAUUGUUAAGCAAGAUGUGAAAUCCCCGGGCUUAACCUGGGAAUGGCAUUUUGAACUGGCAGUCUAGAGUGCGUCAGAGGGGGGUGGAAUUCCACGUGUAGCAGUGAAAUGCGUAGAUAUGUGGAGGAACACCAAUGGCGAAGGCAGCCCCCUGGGAUGACACUGACGCUCAUGUACGAAAGCGUGGGUAGCAAACAGGAUUAGAUACCCUGGUAGUCCACGCCCUAAACGAUGUCAACUGGUUGUUGGGGGAGUGAAAUCCCUUAGUAACGAAGCUAACGCGUGAAGUUGACCGCCUGGGGAGUACGGUCGCAAGAUUAAAACUCAAAGGAAUUGACGGGGGCAAGGGCGAAUUCUGCAGAUAUCCAUCACACUGGCGGCCG